GGGUUGUGAGGUUAAGCGACUAAGCGUACACGGUGGAUGCCCUGGCAGUCAGAGGCGAUGAAGGACGUGCUAAUCUGCGAUAAGCGUCGGUAAGGUGAUAUGAACCGUUAUAACCGGCGAUUUCCGAAUGGGGAAACCCAGUGUGUUUCGACACACUAUCAUUAACUGAAUCCAUAGGUUAAUGAGGCGAACCGGGGGAACUGAAACAUCUAAGUACCCCGAGGAAAAGAAAUCAACCGAGAUUCCCCCAGUAGCGGCGAGCGAACGGGGAGCAGCCCAGAGCCUGAAUCAGUAUGUGUGUUAGUGGAAGCGUCUGGAAAGGCGCGCGAUACAGGGUGACAGCCCCGUACACAAAAAUGCACAUAUUGUGAGCUCGAUGAGUAGGGCGGGACACGUGGUAUCCUGUCUGAAUAUGGGGGGACCAUCCUCCAAGGCUAAAUACUCCUGACUGACCGAUAGUGAACCAGUACCGUGAGGGAAAGGCGAAAAGAACCCCGGCGAGGGGAGUGAAAAAGAACCUGAAACCGUGUACGUACAAGCAGUGGGAGCACGCUUCGGCGUGUGACUGCGUACCUUUUGUAUAAUGGGUCAGCGACUUAUAUUCUGUAGCAAGGUUAACCGAAUAGGGGAGCCGAAGGGAAACCGAGUCUUAACUGGGCGUUAAGUUGCAGGGUAUAGACCCGAAACCCGGUGAUCUAGCCAUGGGCAGGUUGAAGGUUGGGUAACACUAACUGGAGGACCGAACCGACUAAUGUUGAAAAAUUAGCGGAUGACUUGUGGCUGGGGGUGAAAGGCCAAUCAAACCGGGAGAUAGCUGGUUCUCCCCGAAAGCUAUUUAGGUAGCGCCUCGUGAACUCAUCUCCGGGGGUAGAGCACUGUUUCGGCAAGGGGGUCAUCCCGACUUACCAACCCGAUGCAAACUGCGAAUACCGGAGAAUGUUAUCACGGGAGACACACGGCGGGUGCUAACGUCCGUCGUGAAGAGGGAAACAACCCAGACCGCCAGCUAAGGUCCCAAAGUCAUGGUUAAGUGGGAAACGAUGUGGGAAGGCCCAGACAGCCAGGAUGUUGGCUUAGAAGCAGCCAUCAUUUAAAGAAAGCGUAAUAGCUCACUGGUCGAGUCGGCCUGCGCGGAAGAUGUAACGGGGCUAAACCAUGCACCGAAGCUGCGGCAGCGACACUAUGUGUUGUUGGGUAGGGGAGCGUUCUGUAAGCCUGUGAAGGUGUGCUGUGAGGCAUGCUGGAGGUAUCAGAAGUGCGAAUGCUGACAUAAGUAACGAUAAAGCGGGUGAAAAGCCCGCUCGCCGGAAGACCAAGGGUUCCUGUCCAACGUUAAUCGGGGCAGGGUGAGUCGACCCCUAAGGCGAGGCCGAAAGGCGUAGUCGAUGGGAAACAGGUUAAUAUUCCUGUACUUGGUGUUACUGCGAAGGGGGGACGGAGAAGGCUAUGUUGGCCGGGCGACGGUUGUCCCGGUUUAAGCGUGUAGGCUGGUUUUCCAGGCAAAUCCGGAAAAUCAAGGCUGAGGCGUGAUGACGAGGCACUACGGUGCUGAAGCAACAAAUGCCCUGCUUCCAGGAAAAGCCUCUAAGCAUCAGGUAACAUCAAAUCGUACCCCAAACCGACACAGGUGGUCAGGUAGAGAAUACCAAGGCGCUUGAGAGAACUCGGGUGAAGGAACUAGGCAAAAUGGUGCCGUAACUUCGGGAGAAGGCACGCUGAUAUGUAGGUGAGGUCCCUCGCGGAUGGAGCUGAAAUCAGUCGAAGAUACCAGCUGGCUGCAACUGUUUAUUAAAAACACAGCACUGUGCAAACACGAAAGUGGACGUAUACGGUGUGACGCCUGCCCGGUGCCGGAAGGUUAAUUGAUGGGGUCAGCGCAAGCGAAGCUCUUGAUCGAAGCCCCGGUAAACGGCGGCCGUAACUAUAACGGUCCUAAGGUAGCGAAAUUCCUUGUCGGGUAAGUUCCGACCUGCACGAAUGGCGUAAUGAUGGCCAGGCUGUCUCCACCCGAGACUCAGUGAAAUUGAACUCGCUGUGAAGAUGCAGUGUACCCGCGGCAAGACGGAAAGACCCCGUGAACCUUUACUAUAGCUUGACACUGAACAUUGAGCCUUGAUGUGUAGGAUAGGUGGGAGGCUUUGAAGUGUAGACGCCAGUCUGCAUGGAGCCGACCUUGAAAUACCACCCUUUAAUGUUUGAUGUUCUAACGUUGACCCGUAAUCCGGGUUGCGGACAGUGUCUGGUGGGUAGUUUGACUGGGGCGGUCUCCUCCUAAAGAGUAACGGAGGAGCACGAAGGUUGGCUAAUCCUGGUCGGACAUCAGGAGGUUAGUGCAAUGGCAUAAGCCAGCUUGACUGCGAGCGUGACGGCGCGAGCAGGUGCGAAAGCAGGUCAUAGUGAUCCGGUGGUUCUGAAUGGAAGGGCCAUCGCUCAACGGAUAAAAGGUACUCCGGGGAUAACAGGCUGAUACCGCCCAAGAGUUCAUAUCGACGGCGGUGUUUGGCACCUCGAUGUCGGCUCAUCACAUCCUGGGGCUGAAGUAGGUCCCAAGGGUAUGGCUGUUCGCCAUUUAAAGUGGUACGCGAGCUGGGUUUAGAACGUCGUGAGACAGUUCGGUCCCUAUCUGCCGUGGGCGCUGGAGAACUGAGGGGGGCUGCUCCUAGUACGAGAGGACCGGAGUGGACGCAUCACUGGUGUUCGGGUUGUCAUGCCAAUGGCACUGCCCGGUAGCUAAAUGCGGAAGAGAUAAGUGCUGAAAGCAUCUAAGCACGAAACUUGCCCCGAGAUGAGUUCUCCCUGACCCUUUAAGGGUCCUGAAGGAACGUUGAAGACGACGACGUUGAUAGGCCGGGUGUGUAAGCGCAGCGAUGCGUUGAGCUAACCGGUACUAAUGAACCGUGAGGCUUAACCUUACAACGCCGAAG
rnacentral:rRNA from 1 species